rnacentral:rRNA from 1 species
CGGCGGACGGGUGAGUAACACGUGGGUAACCUGCCUGUAAGACUGGGAUAACUCCGGGAAACCGGGGCUAAUACCGGAUGGUUGUUUGAACCGCAUGGUUCAGACAUAAAAGGUGGCUUCGGCUACCACUUACAGAUGGACCCGCGGCGCAUUAGCUAGUUGGUGAGGUAACGGCUCACCAAGGCAACGAUGCGUAGCCGACCUGAGAGGGUGAUCGGCCACACUGGGACUGAGACACGGCCCAGACUCCUACGGGAGGCAGCAGUAGGGAAUCUUCCGCAAUGGACGAAAGUCUGACGGAGCAACGCCGCGUGAGUGAUGAAGGUUUUCGGAUCGUAAAGCUCUGUUGUUAGGGAAGAACAAGUGCCGUUCAAAUAGGGCGGCACCUUGACGGUACCUAACCAGAAAGCCACGGCUAACUACGUGCCAGCAGCCGCGGUAAUACGUAGGUGGCAAGCGUUGUCCGGAAUUAUUGGGCGUAAAGGGCUCGCAGGCGGUUUCUUAAGUCUGAUGUGAAAGCCCCCGGCUCAACCGGGGAGGGUCAUUGGAAACUGGGGAACUUGAGUGCAGAAGAGGAGAGUGGAAUUCCACGUGUAGCGGUGAAAUGCGUAGAGAUGUGGAGGAACACCAGUGGCGAAGGCGACUCUCUGGCUGUAACUGACGCUGAGGAGCGAAAGCGUGGGGAGCGAACAGGAUUAGAUACCCUGGUAGUCCACGCCGUAAA